AGCCUGCAAUUGCUAAUGGGCAAAAGCUGAAAAAGAGCUGGGAUGACAAACCAAUAAUAUAGACUUUCAUAUAGAUUAGCUGAUAAAUUAUGAAAGUGCAUAUACAAUUCCGCUGAGAAAUUGAUAAAGAAGAAGUAGAUGGGAGAUUGGAAGAUUCGCAGACGCAGACAAAGAGACGAAGAGGUAGAGCUGCAGCCCCAGAGGAAAGGGGGACCGGAGCUGGAAUCGCAGAGACUAGAGACGAAGAGGUAGAGCUGCAGACGCAGAGGGGAGGUGGACCGGAGGUGGAGGCCGGACUUGGGGAGAGUCGCGAUUUGCGAUGUGGUUGUGGAGAAGCAAAGCGAAACUAGAGAUUUGGGAUUAUAAAAUGCAAGAUUAUUAAUUUUAAGAUGAAAUAGUGUUAGUGA
rnacentral:lncRNA from 1 species